rnacentral:rRNA from 1 species
UUAGAGUUUGAUCCUGGCUCAGAUCGAACGCUGGCGGCAUGCUUAACACAUGCAAGUCGAACGGUCUCUUUUGAGACCUUGGCCUACUGGUGACUAAUGCAUGACAAUCUACCGUUCUCUACGAACUAACUCAGGAAAACUUGUAGCUAAUACCGUAUACGCCCUUUUGAGCAAAUAUUUAUCACAGAAUGAUGAGCCCAAGUUGGAUAACCUACUUGGUAGGAUAAAGGCCUACCAAAGCAACUAUCCGUAGCUGGCCUGACACGAUGAUCAACCACUCUGGAACUGAUUACGCGACCCAGACUCCUACGGUAGGCAUCAGAGGCGAAUAUUGACACCAUGGGCACAAGCCUGAUCCAGCCUUGCCGCGUGAGUGAUAAACGCCGCAUACCGGUUGUACCAGCUCUUUCUCCGGUGAAGAUACUGACUGUAACCAGAUAAGACCCACGGCUAACUUCUCGCCAUACAACCGCAGGACUACUAACGGAGCUAGCGAUGUUCCGAUUUACUGCUCCUAAAGCGCACGCUACGCGGACUUUUAAGUCAGGGGUGAAAUCCCCGGGGCUCAAGCCCCGGAACUGCCCUUGAUACUGUAAGUCUUGAAUAUGGAAGAGGUAAAGUGGAAAUGCGACGUGUAGAGGCGAAAAUUCGUAGAUAUUCGCAGGAACACCAGUGGCGAAGGCGGCAUCCUGGUCCAUUACUGACGAUGAUCUGCCAAAGCGUGGGGAGCAAACAGGAUUAGAUACCACGGUAGUCCACGCCGUAAUCGAUGAAUGCUAGCCGUCGGGGUGUCUACACUUCGGUGGCGCAGCUGACGCAUUAAACAUUCCGCCUGGGGAGUACGGUCGCAAGAUUAAAACUCAAAGGAAUAGACGGGGGCCCGCACAAGCGGUGGAGCAUGUGGUUUAAUUCGAAGCAACGCGCAGAACCUCACCAGCUCCCGACAUGCGUUGAGAAGUUAGGGGAGACACUUUCAGCCUUUCGCGGAGUAGCACACAGGCUGCUGCAUGCCUGUCGUCAGUCUAGUGUCGUGAGAUGUAGGGUUAAGUCCCUGCAACGAGCGCAACCCUCCCCUUUCAGUUACCAUCAUUUCGUGGGCCACUUUAAAGGGACUCCCAGGCAUAACCGGGAGGAAGGUGGGGAGGACGUCAAGUCUUCAUGCCCCUUACGGGAUGGGCUCCCCACUCGUUCCAAUGUGUGGUGCCAGUGGUCAGCGAGAUCGGGAGGUCGAGCUAUUUUCCAAAACCCAUCUCAGUUCGGAUUGCACUCUGCAACUCGAGUGCAUGAAGUUGGAAUCGCUAGUAAUCGCGGAUCAGAAUGCCGCGGUGAAUACGUUCCCGGGCCUUGCACUCACCGCCCGUCA